AGAAGCAGUAUUUCCUUUACUGGUUUUACUGUAGACCCAGCAUUUUACUUUGAAGAAAUUAGAGUGUUCCUGGCAGGCUUAGCUUGCAUAUAUUAGCAUGGAAUAAUGGAAUAGGACCUUGUCUGUUUUAUUGGUUGACAGAUAGGUAAUGAUUAACAGGGACAGUCGGGGGCAUUCGUACUCAGUGGCUAGAGGUGAAAUUCUUAGAUUCGCUGAAGACGAACUAAUGCGAAAGCAUUUGCCAAGGAUGUUUUCAUUAAUCAAGAACGAAAGUUAGGGGAUCAAAGACGAUUAGAUACCGUCGUAGUCCUAGCCAUAAACUAUACCGACUAGGGAUUGGUGUGGGUCAUAAUCCAUAUCAGCACCUAAUGAGAAAUCAAAGUCUUUGGGUUCUGGGGGGAGUAGUGGUCGCAAGGCUGAAACUUAAAGGAAUUGACGGAAGGGCGACCACCAGGAGUGGAGCCUGCGGCUUAA
rnacentral:rRNA from 1 species